rnacentral:rRNA from 1 species
UACGUAGGGUCCGAGCGUUGUCCGGAAUUAUUGGGCGUAAAGGGCUCGUAGGCGGUUUGUCGCGUCGGGAGUGAAAACUUACAGCUUAACUGUGAGCGUGCUUUCGAUACGGGCAGACUUGAGGCAUGCAGGGGAGAACGGAAUUCCUGGUGUAGCGGUGAAAUGCGCAGAUAUCGGGAGGAACACCGGUGGCGAAGGCGGUUCUCUGGGCCUGUACUGACGCUGAGGAGCGAAAGCGUGGGGAGCGAACAGG